UACGGGGGGGGCAAGCGUUGUUCGGAAUUACUGGGCGUAAAGGGCUCGUAGGCGGCCAACUAAGUCAGACGUGAAAUCCCUCGGCUUAACCGGGGAACUGCGUCUGAUACUGGAUGGCUGGAGGUUGGGAGAGGGAUGCGGAAUUCCAGGUGUAGCGGUGAAAUGCGUAGAUAUCUGGAGGAACACCGGUGGCGAAGGCGGCAUCCUGGACCAAUUCCGACGCUGAGGAGCGAAAGCCAGGGGAGCAAACGGG
rnacentral:rRNA from 1 species